GAUCCAACCGUGACGCUCGGGGACGGCAUUGAUCGGACGGGGGGCCCCUUUAGAAGUGACAGUCGGACCUGUCAAAGGGCACAAAGUCAAGAUAUCAGAGGAGUGACUUCAAGACAACCCUGUGAAUGUCCUUGAGUCUUGGAGGAGACUUGAGUCUGACUUGAGAGUCUUGAACUUGAAUCCGGGAGAGGUCUGAAAAUGGCUGGAUGCUUGAUGAAGUUUGAGACCUGCUGCAAAGAAAGAUGAGUGUGCCAAGUCUGUGGCAUCAUAUUUAAAAAGACUUGAGGCCGUAAUUGCUGCCAAUUGUGCAUCAACAGAGUAUUAAACAAAAGCUUUUUUUAAUUUUAUUUUUUACUUAAUUUGGAAGGAAACAACAUUUUUUGUCGGCAUAUGAUGAUGACUUUUGAGGGGGGAAUGAAUUUAUUCAAACACUAAUAAAAAAAAAAUGGAAGUUAUCCAUCCACCGCUGUUAAAAUGUUCUCAAAAGUGGAGUUUUUUUCCCCCAAACCCAGAGGAAAUGAGAGCUCAAAAUGAAAUCUUUUCUCUGUCCCUCCUGAUGCUUGUCAAAAUUGAAAAUGAGAUUUUGACCAUUUACUCAUAUUUCUUCAAUGUGUUGUAGAAAUAGCCCUCCUUUGCCCGAAUCCAAUUUAAAAUUGGAAAAAGCUCUCACUUUCUAUCCCAAGUGAGCUGUCUGACAUAAUACGCCACUGAUACACAAGUAUGAUUAAUUCAAAAUUUGAGCAGCGCUGAUCAUUGGUUGAGUUCAACACCGACUGGACUUAAAAAAGUGACGUAAUUGCCAUUUCAGUUGUGCUUCAAGGCAGUGUAAUUUGGAAGAAAAAAAAGACUAGACUACGUAGAAUAGUGAGUAUGCUGGAUAUCAAAGGAGAACAAAUGUUUAAUAUUUGCUACUCCAACACUGAAGGCUCUGUUGUCAUCGGGAGGGAAAACUGCGUUGUGUC